GUGGGGAAUCUUCCGCAAUGGACGAAAGUCUGACGGAGCGACGCCGCGUGAGUGAAGAAGGCCUUCGGGUCGUAAAGCUCUGUCAUCAGGGACGAACGGCCGGUGGAGUGGAAAGCCACCGGAUUGACGGUACCUGAGAAGGAAGCCACGGCUAACUACGUGCCAGCAGCCGCGGUAAUACGUAGGUGGCAAGCGUUGUCCGGAAUUAUUGGGCGUAAAGCGCGCGCAGGUGGGAUCUUAAGUCCAUUUUUAAAGUUCGGAGCUCAACUCCGUGAUGGGAUGGAAACUGGGAUUCUUGAGUACCGGAGAGGAAAGCGGAAUUCCCCGUGUAGCGGUGAAAUGCGUAGAUAUGGGGAGGAACACCAGUGGCGAAGGCGGCCACCUGGACAGGUACUGACGCUGAGGCGCGAAAGCGUGGGGAGCAAACAGGAUUAGAAACCCGUGUAGUCC
rnacentral:rRNA from 1 species